GAUAGUUUCUGCAGUGAGUAUUCCUGGCUGUCAACUUGACUAUAUCUGGAAUGAACUGCCAUCCAGAAUUGGAGGGCUCACCUGGGAUCCUGAUCUUGAGGGUGGGAGCUAGAAGUUUCUGACCUGGAUCUUGGCAAGGAGAUCAUAAGGUAUAGUGAAUCCCAGGAGACUAAGUCAAGGAGAUCUCUGAGUUCAAGGUCAUCUGGGGCAAAGCAAGUCCCAGAUCCAGGAGUGGUGGUAUCCACCUUUAAUCUGGGCCACACCUUCUGCUGGAUGACACAAGGAUGUUGGAAGAAGGAAGACUCUUCUUCACCUGCCUUGUGGGACUGAGCCACUGAUAGAUCCUUGGACUUCUAUUCACAGCUGCUGCUGACCACUGUUGAGGAGUUGGACUACAGAAUGUAAGUCAUCAAAAAAUUCCCUUACUAUAUACAGACUACCCAUAGGUUCUGUGACUCUAGAGAACCCUGACUAAUACAGUUUCUAUUGGGGCUUAGAAAGCAGCAUGGCAUGAUCAAGAUUUGUAGGGCUUAGAUAUGUGUGCACAUGCAUGUGUGUGAACAUUAAAAAGGAUCCAGAAAAAGUUUCAAGGUAAACUGAUUAGGGUAACUAAUAAUGAAUAUAUGGCUCUAUUUUCAGCUGUGUGUGUGUGUGUGUGUGUGUGUGUGUGUGUGUGUGUGUGUGUAUGUGUGUGUGUGUGUGUGUGUGUGAUGUAUGUGCCUGUGUUCAUAUGUGUGGGGGCAUGUAUAUGUGUUCAUGUGUAUCUGCCAAGCCAUGGAGUUCACAUGGAUGUCAGAGGACAACUUUUGAGAGCUGGCUCUGGGACUUGAACUCCUAUUACUAGGCACCGGGCUCCUUAACCUAUAAGUCAUCUCUCUGGCUUAUUCCUGUCCUUUGUACAUGGCUUCGGGGCCUGGGCUCAGGCUUUGUGAAGUCAAGGUAACUGUUUACUGAUUGAACAUCUCCCUAUCCCAUUUUUAAUUUUUUCAAUGUUACAUAGCAUUACUGAUAUACCAGGAGAAAAGUAAGAAAAAAUUAAAUAAUAAAGAGAAAUAAGAAAAUAUCAAAAAUUCUGUUUUCUCUGUUUUUUUUCAGUACAUUUAUGUUAAUUGUGCAGGUUGUUCCAGGUAUAUAAUGUUUUAUGAAUGUUUUUUUCUAAUUUCUGAAAGCAUAAACAACUGGCAAAAGGAACCAACUAUAAGAGUCAAAUGAAAUACUUGAUGCACAGAAAGUGACAGUCACCCUAUGAAAUAUACCUCUAAUUAUGUUUAAUGUGUGAUUAACUUCAAAGUUACUAGAACACAGAAAGAACUCAGUGUAUUUACCCAUUUUGUGUAAGUAUUACUUGUAAUAAUUGUGCUGUUGAACAAAUUGCCUUUAAAAUAAAUUUUAAAGUAAACUACAAAUACUUUGAUUUUGGCCAAACUGUAUUUAGUGAAGUUUCAUUUGGAUAAAUUAUUCUGAUCAAAUCAACUGCUAUGGGUUUUGAAAUCUGAGACAUCUUGGCAUUGCUCUCAUGGCUUGUUCUGCUGACAAUUUACGAAGGGUCUGGAGUGGGAGGUGAAAUUGAUGCUUUCCGGAGCCAGUCUGCCUUCUGGAAUAUGUCCUUGUAACACACUAGGUCACUCUAAUCUUUCAGGCAUGAGCGAGAACCACAUUCUGCAUGUGCUCUGUGAGAAAGCAGACAUAGUAGCAAGUGCACACAGUUUGACCAGAUGGGAAUUGGACCAAAAAUAAGUCCUUGGGGUUGGGGAUUUGGCUCAGUGGUAGAGCGCUCGCCUAGGAAGCGCAAGGCCCUGGGUUCGGUCCCCAGCUCCGAAAAAAAGAAAUUAAAAAAAAAAAUAAGUCCUUGUCCUUUUCAUUACUUUGCGUGACCAGUUAGUGCUUUGUGUAAUGAGCUUUGUGGAGAGGGAUGGGGCUUUCAUGCUCCAACUCAUUCUAAUCCAAGGAGAUAAGGUGUUAAAAUGUCACUUAACACUGAAGUAUCUGAAAUACCUUUGUAGUGUUCCCUGAGAAGAAAACACUGGAUGAACCAUUACUGUUGCUUGAUACACUUGCCUAAAAAUGGUUGGAAGGCUUCCCAGCCAACAUAAAAAUCUAAGGCCACAUUCGCCAUGCUCUGUGUUUUGAACAUCUUCUUGUGAUGCACUGUUUAGACUUGCUCUACUGACUAACUCAAGUGCCAUAAUAGUCACCUAGGAUCCACACCAAACCUUGUCUCUAGUUCUAUAUUGUUGCCAACUAAAUGUCCCCCAGUAACUAUUCAGUUUUAUCUCCCACAAUUCUUGACAUUUCUAAAAGUGAUCUGCUCCAAAUGUGAGCCACUUGCAGACACAGCUUUCAAGCCAGAGAAGCUAUUUUUAGAGAUCAGCAGCAGAACAGCCCAUUUCUAGCAAGCACUCUGGUUCACUUACAGCGUCUACAUUUCUUUUUGUUCUUAAGGGCAUUCCAAUUAGGCCUAAGCUGGUCCCAAGAGUUCUAGAGUCCUAGCCAGCGGUAAGUUUAGAAGAGGGUAACAUUGGGCCUGGAGUGGGUAGUCAUGGGAAAGAAGUGCUUUUACCUGGAAAGAGAGACAGCAGUAGCUGCCAUCUCUCCAUUUUUGGAACCCUGACGUGUCUCUGAUUGCCAAGUCAUCGUGCUACUAGCUGGAGGACGAACCCAACCAUGAGAAGGAGACAAAUCUAGGGACAAUGUAUUCCUAUAUUGAAGCUCUCAUGAGUUAUUUAUAGCUGUAAGUGUCUUAACUAAUAGCAAGCAUGUGCUGGUGUUUAUGAAGUUUACUUGUAAAGUGUUAUACCAGGCACUGAAUUCUAAGAACAGGCUGGUCUAGCCCCUUGUUCUAGGAAACACACUGAAAUCAUCUCCUAACUCAUGGCCGAUUAGAAAUAACAAGUGAGGAGAAGAGAAACAAGAAGGCAAGAAGGUGGUGCUAGGGUGCAAAGGGCAUCAUUUCGGGACAAGCUAAUGCUGAGAACAGCAGUCCUUCCAGUCUGGAACCCUCAUGGGUGUUAGCACAUAGUCCAAAGACUAAUGCUUGGUGGACAGCUGUGUGUUAUCAAGGGCAUGCUUUCUGUCUGUUUUAGAAUGGGGGAUGGGACUGGAUAAUAUUUAACAGUUUUUCUUUCUUUUUUUAUUCGAGACAGGGUUUCUCUGUGAAAUAGCCCUGUCUAUUUUGGAACUCAAUCUGUAGACCAGGCUGGCCUCAAACUCACAGAGAUCCUCCUGCUUCUGCCUCUCAAGUGCAAGUGCUGGGAUUAAAGGCGCGUGCCACUACCUCCCGGGAGUAGAAUUUCUUUGUAAAUAAAGAAAAGGAUUAAAUGAUUAAGAACAUAGACUUGUCUGAGAAGAUACACCCAAAAUAAACUCACUUCUUGAAUAAGUUCAAUGAAUGCUGUGAAUAUGUGCUCUAUUAAAAUGUUGCUUCUCAAAGGGAGAGAAAAGGAGUAGGUAAUGGCCUAUUUGUUACAGAAAGCAGCUCAUUUCAGAGUCCCCAUGAAAAAGCCCGGACAAGAAGCAAAUUUAAUGAAGGAGGACUUGAUUUUGUGCUUCUGCAAGGCACUGUGCUUUGGUUCAGUGGCUUGGCAAGACAAGGCAUACUAAACUGUUUCCUCUGAAGCUGCCAGGAGGAAGAAAAUAAGCGGCUUGACUGAGUAGAAGGGGGUUGAACACUUCUAAUUAAAAUGUAAAUACUUCCCAGAGCCAAUAGCUUGUAGGAAAAAAAAUAUUGGAAAGAUGGUCCACACUAAAACUACACCAUGCAAAACAGGUUCUAAGUCUGCACAAAACCUGAGCCAACCUGUAGAUGUAAUUACCUCACCAUGAAAUUAUUCAAACCCAGUCAGUUGAAGCCAUGUGCAGGAAAACAGGCGGCUGUUGGGUCCGCUGAGGUCACUGACUAACACUGAGGGCUGCUUUAUGAAGAAAAAGGAGCUUGAGCAACUUGAAACUCAUGAACAAGGUGUAUGUGAUGUUGGGACUUUCUGGAAGGAGCUGGUCAAUCUGUGAGCUCACAGUUUUGUCCCACCUGACAGACUGGGAAGGGAGCUCUGCUAGCCCUGCCCUGAAGCUGCCAACCCAGGUCCUUUGGAGACCCAAAGCUGGGAAAAGAGCUGUCCAAGAGUACUGAACCAAAUAAAAUGCAACCUAAGCUUAACGGGAACAGCGGACUUGAGUUUUCUGGCACUGUGCCGCCAUUAGCCCAGGCAGUCAAUUUUCAUCGACAUCCCAGCAUCUAGACAGGACCAAGUCUGCAGCAAAGGUUGGCACAGCAGCAGCUGGAGGCUGCUCGCAUGGUGGGUGUGGCCUCUCUGCUUUCAUACAGACUUUCUGCCUCAGCUCCACUUUCCUAUUUGAUUUCCUGGUUGCUUCACAGAGUAGAGAUGAUUUUGACGUUGGUGACGUCGUAACGGGUCCAACCUGCUCUGCAGUCUGGAGGCCUACGUCUGUGCACUCAUGCUUUACAGUUCUGUUUCUACUGCUGGAGAGACUCCCUCUGUAACACACAUCUUAUUAUAUAAAUACGCAUUGUAAGCAUAAUCACACGCUUAUGUUCUGGUGAUUGUUAUAGGAAAUAUGAAACACCCAGAAACCUAGGAAGGUGAAUUGAAAAGUUUCACAUCAACUCAGUGUGAUUCUAUCUUCCAGCUUUUCUCUGACCAGGGCCCUAGCCUCACAAAGAGCUGAUGUUCUCUAACAUAGUACUUUGAAUUUUGAUUUUUUUUUUCUUCUUGAGACAAGGUCUUAUGUACCUAAGUUGUCCUCAAACUCACUUAGCUGAGGUCCUCUGCACAUAUUCUAUGGUUGUUCAAGCUUAAGAUUUUUUGCAGGUUUCCUAUCUGGAGAACGGGGAGGGGGUGUCUGACUCUUUUGCCUGCUCCUGGGACCCUUUUCCUGCUAGUGGAUUGCUUUGCCCAGCCUUGAUAUGAGGGUUUGUGCCUAGUCUUACUGUAACUUGUUAUGCUCAGUUGGUAUCCCUAGGAGGCC
rnacentral:lncRNA from 1 species